AGAGUCACUCCUACGGGAGGCAGCAGUGGGGAAUUUUGGACAAUGGGGGCAACCCUGAUCCAGCAAUGCCGCGUGUGUGAAGAAGGCCUUCGGGUUGUAAAGCACUUUUGUCCGGAAAGAAAUGGCGCUGGUUAAUACCUGGCGUCGAUGACGGUACCGGAAGAAUAAGCACCGGCUAACUACGUGCCAGCAGCCGCGGUAAUACGUAGGGUGCGAGCGUUAAUCGGAAUUACUGGGCGUAAAGCGUGCGCAGGCGGUUUUGUAAGACAGGCGUGAAAUCCCCGGGCUUAACCUGGGAAUUGCGCUUGUGACUGCAAGGCUAGAGUGCGUCAGAGGGGGGUAGAAUUCCACGUGUAGCAGUGAAAUGCGUAGAGAUGUGGAGGAAUACCGAUGGCGAAGGCAGCCCCCUGGGACGUGACUGACGCUCAUGCACGAAAGCGUGGGGAGCAAACAGGAUUAGAUACCCUGGUAGUCCACGCCCUAAACGAUGUCAACUAGUUGUUGGGGAUUCAUUUCCUCAGUAACGUAGCUAACGCGUGAAGUUGACCGCCUGGGGAGUACGGUCGCAAGAUUAAAACUCAAAGGAAUUGACG
rnacentral:rRNA from 1 species